GCGAGCGUUGUCCGGAUUUACUGGGCGUAAAGAGCGCGCAGGCGGUCGAUCAAGUCGGAUGUGAAAGCCCCCGGCUCAACUGGGGAGGGUCAUUCGAUACUGGUCGACUCGAAGGCAGGAGAGGGAAGCGGAAUUCCCGGUGUAGUGGUGAAAUGCGUAGAUAUCGGGAGGAACACCAGUGGCGAAGGCGGCUUCCUGGCCUGUUCUUGACGCUGAGGCGCGAAAGCUAGGGGAGCAAACGGG
rnacentral:rRNA from 1 species